UUUAACCUUAUUAGCUCUUCCACAGAUGACUACAAUAUAUCUUUCCAUCUUUUUCUGUGGUCUGCAAUUUCUUUCAUCAGUGUCUCAUAGUCUUUAGGUAGGUUUAUUCCUAAGUGUUUUAUCCUUUUUGAUAUGGUUAUAAAUGGGAUUGUUUUCUUGGAUGGACUCAUGAUAUAAUCCAGCCCCAUAACUGUAGGUUAGUGGCCUACAAACUGGAGAAUAAUUAUUAUUAUUUUUGUCUUUUUAAAGUCUUUUCCAGGGCUGCACCCAUGGCAUAUUGGAGGUUCUCAGGCUAGGGGUCCAAUUGGAGCUGUAGCUGCCAGCCUAAGCCUCAACCACAGCAACAAGGGGUCUGAGCUGAGUUUGCAACCUACACCACAGCUCAUGGCAAUGCUGGGUCCUCAACCCACUGAGCGAGGCCAGGGAUCAAACCCACAACCUCAUGGUUCCUAGUCAGAUUCGUUAACUACUGAGUCAUAAUGGGAACUCCCUAAUUAAUUAUAAUUAAUUAAUUAUUAAUAAUUAUUAAUGAAUUUUAUGCAAUUAUCUUAUAUUAUAUAUUCUAUGGUUUUCCCACAAUAGUUAGAGUUGGCCUGUCCAGCCUGGGCUUCCUACACUGGGAAGAUGAGCCCCUAAAAUAUUUGACUUUGAAGAACAAUGGCACCUUAAUUUCAGGAGCUCAAUAGGACUAGAAGAAAUAGUUUUCCCUCUUAAAGGGUGCACACAAAAUCUCACAUUCACUGGGACCCAAGGCAAAAAACAAAAGCAGUGGUUUGUUAAAAGCUUGGUCCAGAACUACCUUCUGGUCUUGGAGAGCCUCCAGAAAAGGCAAAGGUAGCUGUGGCUCACUUUUGGGACACAGACUCUGGUAUCAUCCAUAUUUUGUAAAUUUCUUCCAUAUGGACAUUCUGCAGGUCAGUGCCAUUAUUUUAUCCUCCCUCCUUUUAUUAUUUUAUUUUAUUUCAUCAUUUAUACCAGAACUUGGCCCUACCUAACAACCUAUAGGCACUAGUACUGGGAAGACUGAGGCCAAACAACUAACUGGGUGGGAAUACAAUCUCACUCAUCAACAUACAAGCUCUCUGAAGACUUCCUGAAUCCACAGUUUCUAGACACAACUCUAGACAAGUCCCUACUCACCAGAGAGCAAAGAAACAUCUCUAUGCAUCAGUGGGCAGGUAAAGCCCCUUCCAUUCAGGAAUCCUGCACUAACUAGUAGAUGAGACUCACCCACCAUGUGGUAGACAUCAUACUCAAGAAAAUACCAAUCCUACAGUCUGCAGACCCAGACAACCCACAGCUGGCCAUACUAUACUCUGGACAAGCUGGACCUUGGCUCUGCCUGCAAGCAGGCUAACACAAGCUUCAGAACACCCUAUAGCCGAUACUCAACUGUGACAGGAACCAGCCUCACCCCUACUAGUGUUCUGACACCAGCUCUGGGAUUUCUGAACCCUGUAGCCAGACUCUAGGAUCUGGCUCUGCCUCCCAGUCAACUAGCAUUAACUCUAAGAUCUGGCUUCUACAACAAGUGGGCUGCCAAUAGCCCUGUAGUUUUCUGGAUGCUGACUCAGUUCACCAGUGAGCCAGCACUAACCCUGGAUCCUCUGGGGUUCUGCAGUCAGGGACCUAUGACCAAGUGUCUCUCACCAGCAACCAUCAACAUAUCCACAAGGCAGGGCCUGGCAAACAAAUGAGUUAGAGGCCAACCAAGCCUACCACACAACCCACAUAGUCAACCUGCUACAGCUGAAGGACCCAGGCAGGCUUCUCAGGUAGAAUCCAUAGGGCACAUACUUUAUAUGACAAAAAAGGGAAUGGACUGGGAUACUUAUAUUUCCAAAGGAAGGGCACCUCUCCAAGGUUGAGAUUUGUGACUAGCCUAUACAUACAUAAAAAUACAAGUAGUAACUUAGACAAAAUGAGGUGGCAGAGAAACAUGUUCCAAUUGAAAGAACAACAUUAAGUCCUAGGAGAUGAAUUAAGUGAUUUGGAGAUAGUAAAUAAACCUAUGAAAGAAUUUAGAGUAAUGAUCAUAAAGUGGAUCAAAGGAGGAAAUGGAUGCAAAGAGAAAGAAGUUAGUAUUAUUUAACAAAGAGUUAGAAGAUAUAAAGUACAACCAAACAANAGAUGAAGAAUGCAAUAACUAAGAUGAGAAAUACACUGGAAUCAAUAGUAAACUAAAUGAUACAGAGGAGUGUAUCACUAUACUGGAAGACAGAGUAUUGGAAAUAACUGCCAGUGACAGAAUGAAAGAAAAAAGAAUGAACAGAAAUGAAGACAAUUUUAUAGGCUUCAGGGACAGCAUUAAGUACACUAACAUUCACAAUGUAGGGGACCCAUAAAGAAGAGAGAAGGGGGCUGAAAACAUUUGAAAACAUAAUAGGUAAAAAUUUCCCUAACCUGGGAAAAGAAAUUGUAACCAAAUUUAGAAAGCACUGAGAGUCCAAUACAGUAUGAACCCCAAGAUGAUACAGCAGGAUACAAUGUUAGUAAUAUGGCAUAUAUUAAAGAUAGAGAUUAUUAAAAUCAGUGAGGGAGAAAUCAAUAAAUAACGUACAAGGGAACUCCUGUAAGCCUAUAAGCUUAUUUUUCAACAGAAAGUCAUAUGCUAGAAGGGAGUGGCACAAUAUCUUAAAAGUGUUGCAAAAGGAAAAAUCUACAACCAAGAAUACUCUACCAAGCAAGGAUCCUUUUCAGAUUUGAUGGAGUGUUCAAAAUCUUUACAGACAAGCAAAAGCUGAAAACAUUCAGUACCACCAAACAGCUUUACAACAAAUCCUAAAUGAAAUUUUCUAGGAGAAAGAAAAUAGUCCAUAACUAGAAACAAGAGAAAUACAAAAUGAAAAGGCUCACUGGUAAAGGCACACAUACAAUAAAGGUAAGAAAUAAUUUACACACUAACCUAGUAGGGAGGUAAAAAACAAAUAGUAAAGUCAUCUGUGUCCACAAUAAGCAGUUAAGGUAUAAACAAAACAAUUAUGUGUAAAGUAUGAUAUCAAAAAGCGUAAUCAUGAGGGAGGAGAAUACAAAUACAGUUUAUAAAAAUGCAAUUGAAAUUUAGAGACAAGCAAACUGCAACAAUCAUAGUCAUAAAACAACAUACUCAAUGGUAGAAAAGUGAAAUCAUUUUCUCUAAUAUCCAGAGCAAGAGAAGCAUGUCCACUCUCACCACUUCUAUUCAUCAUAGAUUUGGAAGUCCUAGCCCCAUCAUUCAGAGAAGAAAGACAAAUAAUAUGAUCCAAGUUGGAAAUGAAGAAGUAAAAUUGUUACUUUUGGUAGAUGACAUGAUUGUGUAUGUAGAAAAUCCUAACGAUGCCACUGGAAAACUACUAGAGAUUUUCAAUGAAUUUGGUAAUGUUUCAGGGUACAAAUUAAUAAAUAUUUUGCAUUUAUUUACACUAACAACAAGGUAUCAGAAAGAAAUUAAACAAUCCCAUUUACUAUUACAUCAAAAAAUAAAAUACUUAAGAAGAAACAUACAUAGGGUGGCAACUGUCUUAUGUUUUUAAAAUUAUGAAACUGAUGAAACUGAAGACAGCAUACACAAAUGGAAAGAUAUACCAUGUUCUUCAUGGGAAAAUUAAUAUUGUUUUUUUCAUUUUUAAAAGUUUUAUUGAAGUAUGAUUGAUUUAUAAUGUGAUAGUUUCUGCUGUACAAGAAUGUUAUUCAGUUAUACAUGUACAUACAUCCAUUGUUUUUCAAACUUUUUUUAUGGUUUCCAAAUGAGACAGGUUGGGGGCUGGGGGGUGGGUUGGGGUUUGGGGAUGGAAAUGCUCUAAAAUUGGGGUGUGAUGAUUGUUGUACAGCUAUAAAUGUAAUAAAAUUCAUUGAGUAAAAAAUAUGUGUGAAAAAAUAAAAUGUUAAUACUUGUUUAAUCUUGACUUUAAAAAUCCAUUGGAAUUCUCUUAAAUUCAUUAUGUUUGAAAGUUUUCAAAAUAAAUUUCAAAGAUGUCAUUGAUUCACAUCAUUCUUGAAUCUCUGCUCUAUUUCCCUAUCCAUAUGACCUCAUCACUUCUUGGAACUUAUAUUCUCAUGCUUUUACUUCUUUAUUCUAUGUACAGUAUGACUUCGUGCUUAAGAACAUGGAUUUCCUGCCAACAGGAAUAAAUGAUAUUUCUAGGAAAAUAGGAAUGGUUUUGACUGAAGUCAUUGUUUAUGGAAAUGAAUGUAGCACUGGGAAUGGGGCUGAGGCAGGUGAACAGUGGGACAGAGUCAGAAAGCUAACACAACUAUUGGUGAGGGCUGGUGGUGAAUGUGGGGAAAAGGGGAAGCUUGGCAGUUUACUAAGACUGAAAAACUUAUUGCAAGAAAUGUUUAUUGAAUGGCCAAAUAUGUUAAGCACCUUAUUAAGUAUUGGUGAUAUGAAAUCAAUUAUAUUAUGUUUGAUAGUCACAGGAAGAAGAAAGGCCUUAAUUUUAUUAUUCAACAGUUAAAAUUCACUAUGCUUUCCUUUAAAAUGUUGCUCCUAUCUGUGCCCUCCUCUCCUUUUAGGGUAUCCUCCAGGUUCAGUUCACCUCAUUAAUACAUAAUUGGUUGAAGUUAGUCUCCUUGCUUUGAGGCUUUCACUUUCGCUCAAUUGCAAUCUCAGGUUUCUGAAACGUACAGUAUUGUUACUCUGCUCCUGGAAGACUUUUGUGUCUGAUGGUUCUGAGAUAAUUUCAGAUUUCUUAGGGUUCCAUUUAAGAGACUUAGUAAACUGUGCAACGUUUAUUUCCAUAAACAAUGACUUCAGUCAUAACCAUUCAUGUGUUCUUAGAAAUAUCAUUUAUUCCUGUUUUUAAGGCAUAUUUUACUUCUGAUGCUAUUAAGAACUAAAUACCAGAGGGUACAAGAAUCUCCAUUUUCUGAACCCCUAAGCAUGUGGGGAAAAAAGGCAGAACUGAUUCAAAUUCUAGUUCAUUUCCGUAACCUGGUUGAAUUUGGGAAAGUUCCUCAAUAUUGAAUAGCAUGAUUAUAUUUUACUGAGGAAAUCAUGAAAAUUCACGUCUAAUAAAUUGGUGGGUAAUAUAUAUGCAAGAUCUA
ensembl:lncRNA